rnacentral:tRNA from 1 species
GCCGAGAUAGCUCAAUGGUAGAGCAAUGGUUUUGUAAACCAUAGGCUGGAGGUUCAAAUCCUCUUCUCGGCU